rnacentral:rRNA from 1 species
GACGAACGCUGGCGGCGUGCCUAAUACAUGCAAGUAGAACGCACAGUUUAUACCGUAGCUUGCUACACCAUAGACUGUGAGUUGCGAACGGGUGAGUAACGCGUAGGUAACCUGCCUGGUAGCGGGGGAUAACUAUUGGAAACGAUAGCUAAUACCGCAUAAUAUUAAUUAUUGCAUGAUAAUUGAUUGAAAGAUGCAACUGCAUCACUACCAGAUGGACCUGCGUUGUAUUAGCUAGUAGGUGGGGUGACGGCUCACCUAGGCGACGAUACAUAGCCGACCUGAGAGGGUGAUCGGCCACACUGGGACUGAGACACGGCCCAGACUCCUACGGGAGGCAGCAGUAGGGAAUCUUCGGCAAUGGACGAAAGUCUGACCGAGCAACGCCGCGUGAGUGAAGAAGGUUUUCGGAUCGUAAAGCUCUGUUGUAAGAGAAGAACGGGUGUGAGAGUGGAAAGUUCACACUGUGACGGUAUCUUACCAGAAAGGGACGGCUAACUACGUG